rnacentral:tRNA from 1 species
GUCCCCAUCGUCUAGUUGGCCUAGGACAACGGCUUUUCACGUCGUUAACGGGGGUUCGAAUCCCCCUGGGGACG